rnacentral:lncRNA from 1 species
GUCGUCGAGGCUCUGAUACCAUGUAAACAUUCAUAUUAGACCGAGAAAUCAUAGAAAAUCUAGAGAGAGAAAGUAGAGAGAAGGCAGAGCGUUUUGAAAUUCUCUGGAAGAUGAGAGAAGUGUAUUACAGAAAAUGAAAUGAAAAAUGAGUCUCGGUAGGUGAGAAAAUAUCUCACCUACAUAUAUACUUAUUACACAUGGACGGGUCGGAUCGGGUGAUCCGGCCCAAAAUUAAAUAAUGGACAUUGGGCUCAG